rnacentral:rRNA from 1 species
AUGCAGUGUGGUGGGCCUGAUCCGGCGCCGCUUCACUUUGCAUCAAAACUGCGUGAUCUCGGCCACUCUCCUUCCCGGGGAUAUGAUCGAAGGCAGGAUAAAGUCAAUUGCAAGAGAAGACACAGGCUUUCAUCCAAGAGAAGAGACUUCAGGAUGCUUUGGUUUUCAUCUGGCUACUUGCUCGAGAUCGAUUGGCACUUCUGUGACUGCAACAGUCUUCUAAACCCCUGUACUGUUGGAAAACAGCCAAAGCCACAGCCACUAGCCUUGGAAGCUUGGGGUUUCAAAGGAAACUUUGGAGGAAAGAUUGGCACAGAAACUUCAAAAAGCCUUGGAAGCUUGGGGUUUCAAAGGAAACUUUGGAGGAAAGAUUGGCACAGAAACUUCAAAAAGCCUUGGAAGCUUGGGGUUUCAAAGGAAACUUUGGAGGAAAGAUUGGCACAGAAACUUCAAAUUUAA